CCUACGGGAGGCAGCAGUGAGGAAUAUUGGUCAAUGGCCGGAAGUCUGAACCAGCCAAGCCGCGUGCAGGACGAAGGUGCCAAGCAUUGUAAACUUCUUUUGUCAAGGGACAAAAUCAGGCUCGAGAGCCUGACCGAGGGUACUUGAAGAAUAAGCAUCGGCUAACUCCGUGCCAGCAGCCGCGGUAAUACGGAGGAUGCGAGCGUUAUCCGGAUUUAUUGGGUUUAAAGGGUGCGUAGGCGGGCUGUUAAGUCAGCGGUAAAAGCCCGGGGCUCAACCCCGGCGAGCCGUUGAAACUGGCUGUCUAGAGAUGUCUAGCGGUAUGCGGAAUGCGCAGUGUAGCGGUGAAAUGCUUAGAUAUUGUGCAGAACUCCGAUUGCGAAGGCAGCUUACCAAACUGCCACUGACAUUGAGGCUCGAAAGUGUGGGUAGCAAACAGGAUUAGAUACCCUGGUAGUC
rnacentral:rRNA from 1 species